GGACUUAGAAGUCACUCUGAUCACCUGACUGACCGUGAGUCCCACUGUAAGGCUUUCCUAGUCUCCCCUUGCCAUCCUUCCUAUCUACAUUUAUGGACGCAUUUCGCUCCCUGCCUCGACUCUGGUCCCCCCAGAGCUUCCUAGAGUCUUGCCCUGCCAGCACAGAACUCGCCACUUGGGAGAGGGCGCCCACCCUGGGGCGCGUUGCGUGAAAGCCUGGCAGCUACACCUCGCUUCUUCCUCCUCCUGCCCUCAGCCGCGGACCUUCACGCCACAUCCCCGCGCACCCGGCGACUCGGGUCGUCCCUGGCCUCGCGGGCCCCACCCCUCCCCAGGUCUACCCCGCGAUCGGGCGGGAGACAAGUUGAAUGGGAAGAUGGAGAUGGAUGUUGAGGGAGUUUCUCCGCGCCCGGAGCCCAUCCCCCGCUCCCAGGGGGCCGGCGGAGCCUGCCAGGCGCCGCCGCCGCGGACCCAGCCCCAGCCGCAGCGAGAGCAGCCGCGGGCUCAGGAUGAACUGCCCGGCGAGAGUGCAGGCGCUGGGGACGGCGAAGAUCCCGAGACGAGGUCCAGCGGCGAGAGAGGCGAGAGCAAGAGAUAGUGUGGACUGCAAGGUGAUGGGCGUGACCUCCAAGACUCCACAUCACUCACUGGCUGUGCAAGGCUUAUGCUACCCUUCCAGAGAGGCAGCAAGAAGGAAGCUUGAGGAGACCCCAUUCCUUGGCCAGAGAGAGGAUGGUUCUGGGGAGCUCCUGAAACACACUGAGGAAGGUGCUGCUGUUGCAUAAGACAGACACGCCGCUCCUUGAGCCAAGAAGCACCUAGAGUGGAAUUCAAGCCCAUCAUCCUUAUGGACUGACGUUCUCACCAUGACAGUUCUGAAUUGGACUGGUUUUCCUUGGGUCACUUACAUAAUGCACAAUUCUCUGUGACUUUGACUGAUUUGCUUUAUUUUUUCCUGUCUUUCUUUUCUUGGCCUGGGAAUCAUAAAAAAGAAUUGUUCUAUAUGGUAUGAUCUGUGAUGAAAUGAGCCUUGUUUAUGUUCUUAGGGAAUUUCUAAAUUGAAGUUCCAUGUUAAUUAGUAAACGUGCCCAUAUAGUUUGAUUUGUAUCUCGCCCAUUUUUAGAUUAAAAAUAUAUUUCCUUUUUUCUCAAAGUGUGGAUUUAGGUAAUGACCCAAGUCACAUUUGCUUAGCUACUGAAAAGAUCUCAAUGUGGUAGUGGUUGGAAUUAAAAUAUAAUCAAACAUACAUUAUACCUGAGGCUCUUACACACCAUUUGAUAUAAAUGUUAUACUGCAAAGGAACAUAAAUCUUACAGGUUGAAAUGUAAUUCCUCUUUGAUCAUGUAGGGAAAAUAGCAAAAAAUUAUGAAUAUCAAAAGUGGCUUUAAGUAUCACAAAUGUGAGCUAACCAACACUGGAACACUGGAAAGUUUCAAAAUGUCAUCAUCUAAGACAAAGCAGGAGUCGAAGAGCAACUGUCCUCAUCAGUGGUGUUGCUCUGGUGUCUCUGUGGCUUUUCUUACUUGAGGGAGGUAAAGAACUUGGCACAUUUCUGUGACUGGGUGUACAGAAGCUAUAGUACUUCUGACUGUUCUGUAACUGUGCCUGCCUAUCAAUAAAAUGUUUUCAGUUGACUCAGCAACAAUGUCUUUGUCAAUUUCCUCCAAAACUGUGUCCUUAGUGGUUUUGUAAGAAAGUCCAGUACAGACCUACAAGAGGUUCAUCUGUGAAAGAUCUCAUCUGGUUCCAGAGUUAUUGCUGUUCUAGAAGUUGCCUUACAGCUACAUAUUUUCUGUACACAGAACUGGAGUUGUAUAGUAGUC
rnacentral:lncRNA from 1 species